UCGUCGGCCGCCGACAUAACCACCUCAAAUCAAGAACUAAUACCACUUGAAUCCGUCUCUAUUCACAACUAGAGACAUAUUAUCAACUUCGACCCAAUCGAAUUAACUUCCGCCAUCGUUAUAGGUUCACGUUCCGCUCACGCACCUAUAACCUUAGGGCUCACCAACUAGGGUCUCCUAGGUCAUCCUAGACUUUCUCUCUCUACUUGCUCUUGUUGCUCUGAUACCACUAUACCUGUCACACCCCGCCCCGAAACCACUACCAGUUUGGCAUGAUUCGGGCGCGGCGGCGGACCGCCGAACGGACAGCACCUCCCCUGUCCGCCCAAGGCUCAACAACGGGAAUGUGUACAAGAAUUUACCCAGGAAUUUAAAUUCUAAACAUACACAUUCAACGAGGGCACAAACAGUGCCAACAACAAGAAGAGCAAGCAAUCCACAAGAAUGACAUGUGAAAUAAAGAGAGGACUUUACUAACUAUUACAAUAGUUUGCAUUCUUUUUCAUUUACAUCAUUUUCUCAAAAUGUAUACAUUUGAUCCUCAAAAUACAUAGCCCUCCAACCUCACCUACAUGAAUCUCUCUCAAUACAUAGGUGUGCUAAUGCAAAAGGAAAGCUACUAUACUACCGCGGUCUCACUGGUCGGCGGAUCCUUGCCCCGUCCUCUCUCGGCAACCUGUACUACACUGGAAUAGAGUGGGGGUGAGAACUACUUUCCAUAGUUCCAGUGGGCUCGGACGCGACUCUGCCGAUCUUCCCCACUAGGUCAAGUGGGCACAAGCAAAAAAGAUAGAUAGAUAGAUAGAUAUCUGAAAGCUGUAAAUGCGAUAGUAGGAACAACUAUGCUAACUAUGCCCAAAAUCAUGAAUAUGAAUGCAUGCAUCAUAUAAUAAAGGUUUGCUACCAUGCUAACAAAUUCGAUACAUGUUCGAAUAGUAAUGUUCAAUGACAUUUUUAAACGUUUAUCUUUCCAUUUACCCAAUCUGUGGCGAGACCCUGGGGCUCGUCAAUGACUCACCUUUCAAUCCCAAAGUAGGGAGGGAGCUCCAAGUGCACCCAAGCCCGGGACCGUCUGCGGACCUCCAUGUGGUCCGGACCUCCAAGUGGUCCUAAUCGCACGACACUCCGGAGUACUCGACGACAAUCCCCUCCAUGUGGGGAUAGGAUGGCUAUACCACCCCAAAGCAGACUGUGAGCUAGAUCUAUCCUCUCCAAGUGAGGAUACACUACACUAGGGUCAACAACCCAAUCAAAUCCUCUCCAAGUGAGGAUGCUCUACAACUAGAGUCAACAUCUCUCGCGGAAUCAUUUGUUCCCGACAUUCAUGCAAUGCUAUUUAGCUUUCUAAAUUCAUUGUUCACAAGGCAUUUUCUAAGGGAUCCACCUAUCCCUAGGUUCUCAAACCUCUAGUGUUAUUUACACUACAUUAAUGCCACUCAUCAUCAUUUAACGUUUGGAUGCCACUUAUGUGUUCCUUGACACUAACCACUACUUUCUAUGUCAUCAACACCCCCAUUGGGUUCAUCUCUUUUCUUUCGCAUCAUAGGAUCCACGUUCCGACCCAAUCCUCACCUAUCUAAGUUACCAAGCGUUCCAAGUACACUAGGUUAUCAAUUAGAAAGCAUAAGGAAAGGUACUACUAUGCAAUCCUACAAUACAACAUGCAAGAGAUGAGAUUAAAUGCAAUCUAAGACAUAGAAUGGAGUUCGAAAGCUUCGGGAUGGCACCCCCCACCUUUUAUCGAUGAAGAGGCUUUAGAAAUGAUCCUCGGCGAACUUUACGAAAAGGCUUUAGCCUUCCUUGCCUAAGACAAUGCUAGAUCGGCCUCGUUUUGCCGAUAACUUCACGCCGGCUCGCCGAAUGCUAAAACCGACUUCGCCCCCACAUUUUGUGACCUAGCAAUUAGGUUUCCAAGGCUUCAAAUGAGAUCAAUCUCAUACUUUCUCAAAAACCCCAUUUUGGAGCCCUAGGUUUGCACCUAUAGCAAACCACCAAUAAAUCCCUAGAUUUCUUGGGAUUGAUCUAUUUAGAAGCUUGCUUAGGGUCCAUUUGAUCCAUUCCUAAGCAUCAAAACCCAAAACCCUAAGUUCUAAAAGCUAGGGUUCAAGAGCUUACCUCUUGAGCUACUCCAAAGAGAAGAUAAGAGGGAGAUGAAGGUGUCCAAGGCCUUCCUCUUGGUCUCCUUCUUCUUCUUCUUCUUUUUUUCUUCUUCUCCUUUUCCUUCCUCUCCUUCUUGUUCCUCUUUUUCUUCUUCUCCUUCUAGGGAGAGAGAGGGUGAGAAAAUAUGAGAGGGAGAGAGUGUGAGUGAGGGUGAGAGAGGAAGAGGGCUCAGCCCCUCUAAUCCCUCCCUAACUAAUGCCAUUUUGCACAAAAACCCCUCAACUUUUAAUACUAUACACUGCCCUUACUGGGCAGAAUUCGCGUGGAGGGACCGGUCUCCCCGACUUGGGACCGGUCCCCAAGGGCCUUCCUCGGGCGCACACGUUCGGGAACCGGUCCCUCCCCGGGAGACCGGUCCUCGGGAGACCGGUCCUCGCCUGAGAGACCGGUCCCCGAGAGCUCGAUUUUCAGGACUUAGCCAAAUUUCAGCAUUUCUCGCCGGGACCACGUUCAGGAACCGGUCCCUCCCUGCUAGGGACCGGUUGCACCAAGCAACCCCGCACACCCAGCCGAUGGAACCGGUCUCUCACCUCCAGGGACCGGUCCCCGAGAGUAACAUCAGCCCAAUGAUGCUGUUUGCACCAUUUGCUCUCGUGGACUCAACUCCAAGGCACUUUUUGUGCUUUGGACAUCUUUAAUUUCCCCAAAGGGUAUUCUCUCGAAAAAUAGUCGAUCCUGGACGAAGUACAACUCUCGGAUUUCGAGAAUUCACUUCCUUACACCGACAGCGAAACAGACUAGUGAGUAUGAUCCAAUCCUCUCAAGAGGAUACCCUAUCUACUAGGGUCAAUGUGCCUCUGCUGCACAGUCAUGAUAUAUAUAAUCAAUGUUGGAACUUCUACUAUCCCUAAGUUCAUGUCAAGUUUACUACACUAGACUCAAUGCCACUCAUUUAGUCAUUGUAGUAAAUGUCUCAAUUAUUCUACAUGCCACUCGUUCAUGUUUAGUGUUUCUACUGCACUAGUCAAUGCCACUCUACUAGGCUAUCAUGUGUCCAAGUUCGGCUCUUUAUGCCAUUAUAGGAUUUUCAUGUCACAAGACCCAAUCCUCAUGCUACCCUAGUCCAUGUGUUCGACUCAUAAGUUACACUACUAAGAAGCAUGCAAGGAAAAGGAAAUGUACAUCUAUUAACCCUAUAAUGCAAUAUGAUCAACAUAUAUAUAACUUAGACAUAAAAAGAAACCCGGAUGCUUCGGGAUGACACCCCCCACCUCUUGAGGGUAUGAAGGCUCUAGAAAUGCCCUCCAACGGACGUUACGACAAAGUCUUGGUCUUCUUGGUCCAAAAUGACGCUCAAUCGGCCUUGUUUUGCCGAUAGCUCUUGACCCACUUGACGAAUGCGAAAUCCAACCUCGCCCCCGCGUUUAGCCACCUACCAAUUAGGUUAGAGGAGGGUCAAAUGAGAUCAAUCCUCUACUUUUCCAAAAACCCUAUUUUGGAGUCCUAGGGUUCCCAUCUUGCCAUUUGCAAUUUGGAACCCUAACUCUAGCUUCAAUCCACCAACAAUGGUGCUUGGGUUCCAUUUGACCCCAUUCCCAAAGCUAAAAACCAAAAAACCCCAAAUUUCACAAGCUAGGGUUAGAAGCUUAACUCUAGGUUAGCUCCAAGAGAGAAGAGAGGAAGAGGGAGAGGUCCAAAGCCUUCCUAGAUUGAUCUUCUUCUUCUUCUCCUUCCUUUUCUUCCUUCUUUUCCUUCUGUUUCCUUCUUUUUCUUCUUUUUCUUCUUUUCUUCUAGAGAGAGAGAUGGAGAAAGAGUGUGAGAGAGAGAGGGAGUAGAAUGAGAGAGUGAGGGAGUAAUCUCCCAUGUAUACCCCUCUAACUAAGGCCAUUUUGCAUAAAAGCCCCUCACCUUUCAUCUCUGUGCACUGCCCUCACUGGGCUGUCUGCGCGCGGAGGGACCGGUCUCCCCGACUUGGGACCGGUCCCCGAGAGCUUCAGCUCGGGUCACGCGUUCGGGUACCGGUCUCUCCCAGAGAGACCGGUCCUCGGGAGACCGGUUCCUUCCUGAGAGACCGGUUCCCGAGAGCUGGGAUUUAGGACUUAGCCAAAUUUUGGCUUUUCUCGCUGGGAUCACGUUCGGGAACCGGUCCCUCACUGCCAGGGACCGGUUGCCUCAAGCAACCCCCGCAACACCAGCCGAUGGGACCGGUCCCUCCCUGCCAGGGACCGGUCCCCGAGAGCAAUUUUGCUCCAGUGCAGAUUUUGCACUAUUUACUCCCGUGGACUCGUUUCCAAUGCACUUUUGGUGAUUUGAAUACCUUUGGCUUUUUUUUCCAAGGUACACCAACACGACCCUUGGUCGAUUCUGGAUGAAGUCUAAUCCUCGUAUUUCAAGAAUUCACUUCCUCACAAGCUUACCUCAAACAAAGUCCUCCCAUGGUGAGGAAGAAGAUGAGAAGAAGAAGCUUCCUCUUCUUAGCUUCCUUCUCCUCCUUUGUUCUCUUUUUCUUCUUUUCCUUUUCCUUUCCUUCCCUUUCUUUCUUCUUCUCCUUCUUGUCUUCUAGAGAGAGAAAGAGAGGAGAGAGUGUGAGAGGGUGUGAGGAAAUGAGAGAAGGCCCUCAUAACCCCCUCAACAUAACCCAUAUAUUGCAUAAAUGCAAAUAAGCCCCUCAGCUUUUAUUCUGUUACACUGCCCAGACUGGGCGCUUCUCGCGCUCGGGGACCAGUCUCCCCGACAAGGGACCGGUCCCAGAGAGCUCUCCCUGAAGCUGGCAAAGCUCCAGCUUGAUGCAACCGGUCUCUCUCUGGGGGACCGGUCUCUCGGGGACCGGUCUCUCCCCGCAGGGACCGGUUCCCAAGAGCAGGUUUUCUGGGACUUCGCCAAACUUUUCCUUUUCUCACCUUUCACGCGUACGGGGACCGGUCUCUCCUUCAGAGACCGGGGACCGGUCUCUCCUUCAGAGACCGGUCCCCGAGAGCUGAAAACCUGCAGAAUGCAGAUUUUUGACUUUUAAGCUCUCGAAGACCUCCCAUAACGCACUUUUGAUCAUCUUAACACCUUCGGACUUUCCGAAGUGUACCAUCCUCACACCUUGGUCAAUUUGACUAAAGUUCGAUAUUUAUUUUCCGAACUUUCGGUAUAUUUCAGUAGCCUUGCUCGGCAUAUUAAUAUACAUUAGGUGCAUAUAAUUAUUUCCCCUUUUUUCAAUUAAUUUUACCAACAUAAACACACCUUCAUCUUUUCAACAAUUUAAAAUAGGGUUAAUUGCAUACACGUCCCUGCAAACAUGGUGAAUUGCAGAUAUAUCCCUGCAAAACUAAAUUUUCAUAAGUUGUCCCUGCAAAAGUCCUAAUAUAUGCAGAUAUGUCCCUGCUGUUAGGGUCUGUUAAAAAAUUUCGUUAACCACAGUUAAAAACUUAAUCAUGGUUAAUUAAUAAUGUGAAUUGACGGUUUUACCCUUCUUCCUCUUCCUCCUCUUCCUCUUCCCUCUUUUUCGACGCCGGCGAGGAAGGAGAUGCGGCGGUGAACCCUCUCCCUCUCCCUCUUUCUCUCCCUCUUUCUCUUCUCCCUUCUUCUUCCUUCCCUCUUCCUCUUCCAUCUUCUUCGUCGCCGGCGAGGAAGGAGAUGCGGCGGCGGCGGCGAACCCUCUCCCUCUUCCCUCUUCCCCUCCCUCCUCAUUCCCUUCUUCCUCUUCUCUCUUCUUCUUCCUCCCCUUCUUCCUCUUCCCUCUUCUUCUUCCUCCCCUUUUUCCUCUUCCCUCUUCUUCUUUCUCUUCUUCUUUCUCUUCCAUCUUAUUCGUUGCCGGGGAACCCGACCCCGAUCUUGCCGAAGCGCCGCCGCCGCCGUCCGCUCCGACGGCCCGAAGAGGGAGAGAAAGAGAAAGAGGAAAUACUUUUGGAGGGACAUAUUUGUGAGGGCAAAAAUAUUAUUUCACAAAUCCACUGUUAAAAAAUAAACAGUUCACUAAUGGAUGUUAACCAGAGGGACAUAUCUGCAUACAUUAGGACUUUUGCAGGGACAAUGUAACAUAUCGCAUCCCCGUAGAACGUGCCAAGUUCCGUCGAAAUGAGCGGAACGCGGAGUCGGAUGAGUUACAAUGGGUUCUAAGUGCAUUAGGACCUUAGUAUAGAGUAAAGGGACCUAAGAGAGCAAAAUUGUGAAAAUCUGGCUAAGUCCCAGAUUUUGAGCUCUCGGGUCCGGUCCUUGCGGGGAGAGACCAGUCCCCGUAGGUUGGAAAAUUGCCCAGCGGCUAAGUUCUGAAAAUCGUGCCCUCAGGAACCAGUCCCUGGAGGAGAGACCGGUCGCCGUGCGCGUAGCCAGCCAAAAAGAGUGAAAAUUUAGCUAAGUCCUGAGAGGUGUGCUCUCGGGAACCGGUCCCUACGGGGAGAGACCGGUCCCCGUAUGCGAAUUCUGCCCAGGAUGGGCUGUUGUGAAAAAUGGAAUUGAGAGGGGUUUAAGUGCAAAUCUGCCAUGUGUAGGUGUAUAGAAGUGAAUGGUAUUGAAUGAGAGCUCAUUUGCUCUCAUGCCAAUACCUAGGGCAACCCUCUCUAUCUCUAAAAACCUCUCUUCUCUCUCUCCUUCUCUCUAGAGCUUGGACCAAGGAGGCUUUUUGGAGGGAUCUAGGUAGAGAAGAAGAAGAAGUAGAAGGUGUAGCUUGCAAGAGUGCAAGUGUACAAGGAAGGCUUGGACUCCAAGGUGAGUUUCUAAGGUUUUGAGUUAGUGUUUGAGUAAUAGCUUCUUGUAUGAGUAUCUAGGAGCUUCUAUGGUGAUUUCCCCCAUGUUAUUCCUGUAAAAGGACUAGUUUUGGGGAAGAUGACAUUGUUGAGGGACCUAAGGUUAGGGUUUUGGAAUUUUGAGGUUCAAUCUUGGGAUUGAUCUCUUUUUAACCUAAUUGGUAGGUCAACGAACGCGUUGGUGCGCUCAGUUCGGCGAAACGACGAGCGUGCGCGGAGAUAUUGCGAAAAGAAGCUAAAUUGGUACAGAUUGCCGCAGCUUGCGGCGUAGAAGUCUAAAAAUCGUGAAAAUUGGAUUGCGGCAUCUUAGCAUCACCAAGAGGUGGGGGGUGCUAUCCAGAAACACCGAAUUUCCUUCUAUGUCUAUAUUAUCAUUAUUGAAUAUAUUGAUGUUAGCAUUCAUGCAUAUAGGGUAGUGUGAUGAAUAUGAUUGGUUGAGAUUCAAUUGUAUGCUAGAGAACAUAUGAAUUGAUGUAGAACCAUAUGAACUAAGAAUGUGAAAAAUCCUAUGUGUAUGUGAAUGUAUGAAAAUGAGACUAUGACAAUAGUAAACAAUGGUGAUAUUGACAUUAGUGACGAGAUUGGCACUGAGCAUAAGAACGGCUAAACAAGGUUUAACCUAGAAUGGCAUCAGGACCAUUGUGGCUCAGAUAUAGUGGGAAUGUGAUAUGGUAAUGACCUAUCCUUGGCAUUGAGGCUUUGUGCAUUGAGACAGGUUUGGCAAUACUUCCUCAAUUUGAGGAUUGGAUCGUACUCACACUGGCUUUGGCUUAAGGGAGGUAGCUCCCCCUCAAGCGGUGUACUCCUGAGUGUAUACACCACGGGGAGAGGCCUCGUCAUUGUUCCCUCGGGUAGUAGUGCUAGUAGCCUCCCCCGGUAGAUGGGAAUUGUGGUUCGUGAGUUUGGGGUGAACCAUGUGUACCCCGGGAUGAUUGGGUAAAGGCCAAAGAAAAUGAGAACAAGGACAUGCAUGCAUAAUAUUAUGAAUACGAAUAUCUAUCUGUGGAUUGUUUUCUUGCAGGCAUUGUAUUAGAAGUGUAUUAGUUGGUUUGUUAUCUUCCUUUAUUGAAAUACAUAUGCCUCAAUAGACCCAAUGGGCGAGUCGGCGCGGUCGGCGGCCGAACCCACUGGGAACUUCUUUUAGUUCUCACACCACCACUAACCCUGCAGAUCCAUGCGCAAGCGGGACGGCGGAGGAUCGAGGCAAGGGAUUAGCGGCGUAGUUAGCGGCCCACAGAGUUAUAGGCAUACCCUAUGCUGGAGUAUUCAACUUUUGUAUGUUGAACUAAGAAAUGCAAAGAGAUGUAAAUCAUAUUUUGGUUGAUAGACAAUGUGAUGUAAAUGUGAAUGAAUGAGAAUGAAUGUAAAUGUAAUAGAUUACUUGUGUUUGAUUAAAAUGUAAUCAAAUGACAUGUAUGUGGGUAAAUGUUUAGUUUAGUAUCGAUGCUUUCACGUGAGAUGGUUGUUGUUUGCCCUCGUGUAAACGUUAUAUAAUUGCAUUCAUUUGUGUUGAAUUGCUUGUAUUAUACAUGUUGUUGGAGCCUUAGGCGGACAGGGGAGGUGCAGUCCGUUCGGCGUCUGUUCGCGUGCCCGAACCGACCAAAUUGACGGCUCCGGGGCAUGACAGACAACUUAUGGAAAUUGUAUUUUGCAGGGAUAUAUCUGCAAUUCACUAUGUUUGCACCGACGUGUAUGCAAUUAACCCUUUAAAUAAGUCAUUAAAGUUUAACAUUUUAGUUAAAAAAAGUUUAUACAAUAGCUACUAAAACUAUUAAAUUUGAUUAAACUAUUAAAUAAAAUUGUUAGAAUAGAAAAAGUUAAAAAAUAUCUAUAAAAUAUAUGAAUUCUCAAUGCAGUUGGGUCACAUCUAACAAAAACAGAUAGUGACGUCAUCAAUUAAACAAUAAACUAAUGAGAACUUGCCAAUUGUCCGAUGAAAAUUUGGAUGUACCCAUUAACCAACUUUAAAAAUUAUAAAAUAUAUGAAUUCUCAGUGCAGUUGGGUAACAUCCAACAAAAACAGAUAGUGACAUCAUCAAUUAAACAAUAAACUAAUGAAAACUUGCCAAUUGUCCAAUGAAAAUUUGGAUGUACCCACAAACCAACUUUAAAAUACACAUAAAAGAUAAAUUUAUAUUAUUCAAUAAAAUUUUAUAUUGUAUAUUUUAUAUUAUAUUAUAUUUUAUAAUAUUAAUUAUUAAAUAUUUUAUCAAUCAUUUAAUACACCAUGUAGUAUAUGAAGCAUUAGUAUGGGAUAUUAUAUUAAUAUACGUUAGGUGCAUAUAAUAGUUUCGUAUUUUUUCAAUUAAUUUUACCAAGAUAAACACACCUUCAUCUUUUCAAUAAUUUAAAAUAUGUCAUUAAAGAUUAACAUUUUAGUUAAAAAAAGUUUAUACAAUAGCUACUAAAACUAUUAAAUUUGAUUAAACUAUUAAAUAAAAUUGUUAGAAUAGAAAAAGUUAAAAAAUAUCUAUAAAAUAUAUGAAUUCUCAAUGCAGUUGGGUCACAUCUAACAAAAACAGAUAGUGACGUCAUCAAUUAAACAAUAAACUAAUGAGAACUUGCCAAUUGUCCGAUGAAAANAAAAUAUUAUAUAUUCGUCACGGGAUUCUCCAUUAGUAGAAUGGUUGGGGUUGGGGCCACUUUUUUUCUUUUUCCUUUUUUUUUUUUUUCUCGGCUUUCCAUCCAAUUCGUUUAUCUCACAUGUUCCACUGAUUUGUGUAGGGGGGAUAAUUUCUAUCCAAACGAAUUCCCCUCUCUUAUUAUAAAAAUUUUAAAAGUAUUUAAUUUUUUUACACAUAAUAUUUUAUAUAGGUUAGAUUGGUUAUAUUAAAUAUAAAUUUUGAUUUAUAAUAUUAAUCGCUUAAAAAUAGGUUGUACAACAAAAAUAAAAAAAGAGAGAUAGAUUGACGGAGUUUAAUUAAGUUAAUUAUUUAUACUAAUAUAUUAAUUUAUAGUUGUGAGAACUGUAUAAAGUAUACUAACUAAAUCUAUAUAGAUAAACGAUACAUUCAAAUUUCAAAGUCAAAAUAUUAUUGACUGGCUCAAAUCAAAUAAAUUGAAAGUUUGGAUCGUAAAAAUAAAAUUUGAAAGAUUAGAUAGAUGAUUCAAAUUGGUCUAUAAUUUAGGAAAGUUUUACAUGUUUUUAUUUUGAUUUUAAUAACAAACCGUAACGUCAUAUUUAUAGUUGAUGAGCGAUCAACCUCACACUUAGAAUUUUUAGAAAUAUCCAAAAUAUUGUAAUUAGGUAUUCUAAACUUUAUUAGAUAAUUUAGUAGGUUUAUUUCUUGAAUGAAAUUACUGCUUGAACAAAAUCGAUCAAUGUUCAACUCCUUACUUCAUCUGGAAUAAAAAUAAAAAUAUAUGUAUGCUGUCUAUCUCUCAAAAAAGAAUAAAUAGUAAAAAAGUAAAUUACACUUUUUGUCACGCCCCGCGACCGCUACCAAUUUGGUCCGGCCCGGGCGCGUCGAACAGACGCCGAACGGACAGGACCUCCCCUGUCCGUCCAAGGCUAACCAACAGAUCGUGCAUAAGAAUUUACCCAGGAAUCAAUUCAUAAAUACACGAUCAAUAAGCACCACUAGUGCCAUAAACAAGAGCAAGAUACAAGUAUAGAAACAUAUACAAGUACAUAAGAGAGAAGAGACUAUCUAUUACAUUCAUUUGAUUUACUACAUUUAGAUACAUCUUUUACAUUCUUCCAAAAUAUAAAUACAAGCAAUCAACCCUCGCCCUAUACAACAUCUACUCUCAAAUACAAAAGGGGUGACGGCUAAUGCAAGAAGAGGAGGUAGCUAAUGCGACUAGAACGCCGGGCCCUUACCGCGAUCCUCACGCUCACCGGGGACACCCGAACUGGAACCUGUGGUAAAAUGGGGGUGAGAACUAACUUCCUUAGUUCCCAGUGGGUUCGGCCGCCGACUCCGCCGAUCUCCCCACUAGGUCCAAGCGGGCAUAAGUAGACAAUCGAUAGAUAGGUAGAUAGAUAAGGAAAGCUGUAAAUGGCGGAAAUGAAGCUACGCUACCAUGCCCAAUCAUAAGUAUAUGAAUGCAUGUCCAAUGAAAUAGGUAAGCAACUAAUCUGUUAUCAUGUCCAAGGGUGAAGCUAUUCACUCGUUCAUUAACCUCAUUUACUUGUUCAUUAAUCUCAUGGCUUACCCGAAGGCUCGCCUACAGCUCACUAGCCAUCUCGACACGUAGGGAGAAUUAACUCACACUACGGACCCGAGACCGUCUGGCGGGGCCAAAUAGGCAAUCCCUGGCGUGACCAACAUCCGGAGCGCACUACUUGUGUGGGGCUUCCAUCACAAGAUUUAACAGACCGUGAGCAUGAUCCAAUCCUCUAAGCUCGAGGAUACCCUGUCCUCUAGAGUCACAAUCAUCAUAUAGUCCAUAGGUGUCGCAUACACUAUUAACUAGAUUGUCCGUUUGUCCGCUAUCGACUAGAUGCCACUCGUUCAUAGUUUACUAUUAACUAGAUGCCACUCGUUCAUAGUUCAUCAUUUUCUCUACAUCAUAGGAUUCACAAUCUCGACCCAAUCCUUAUCAAUCCAAUAUAUCAAUUAUCCGAUGUACGCUACGAUACCAUGAAGGAAAAACAUAAGGAAAGGCAAUGCAUACUAAUCCUAUAAUGCAAUAAUACAAGAUGCAAGAUCAAAUAUACUAAGACAUAGGAGGGAGCCCGAUUGCUUCGGGAUGGACACCACCCACCUCUUGGCGAUGCCGUGAUAGUAGAAAACUCGACGUUGGGGUUCUUGUACGCCGCUUCAACUCCUCGGGGCGAAGCGAGCCCUCGAGUACCCGAUUCGGCGAUUUCUCCGCACCCGCUCGUCGGAUCGAGAAACCGACUUCGCCGACGCGUUCCGGGACCUAGCAAUUAGGUUUGCGACCUAUUAGAUUAGAUCAAAACCCUAGAUUUACCAAAAACCCAAUUCCGUGCCCUAGGAUGGCAACGGGGAAGAAAUCCGUGGUGCGAGCUUCAAUUGCGAGCUCGAACCUUCUCCCUAGUUCCAUUAGGUCCCAUUCAAACCAUAAAAACCCCAAAACCCUAGAAACACCAUUAAAGGGUUUAGAGCUUACCCCUACACAAGGUUCCUUCAAGCUUGAGGGAGAGGGAGAGAAGAAGAUAUCUUCUUCUUCUUCUUCUUCUUAGUCUUCUCUUUCUCUUUCUUCUUCUUUCUCUUCUUCUUCUCCUUCCUCUUCUUCUUCUCCUUCUUCUCUUUCUUUUCUUUUCUUUCUUAGAGAGAGAGAGAAAAGAGGGUAAGAGAGAGAGAGAAAGCAGCUGAGAGUGAGAGAGAGGGGUCCCCCACCUCUAAUAAAGGCCAUUUUGCAUAAAAGCCCCUCAACUUUCACCCUAGUGCACUACCCUCACUGGGCAGUUUUCGCGCGGAGGGACCGGUCUCCCCGACUUGGGACCGGUCCCCGAAGGCUGCCAUUUCGAGCAGAGGGAUUUUCGCGUUCGGGAACCGGUCCUUGCCUGAGAGACCGGUCCCCGGGAGACCGGUCCUUGUCCGAGAGACCGGUUCCCGAGAGCUGCAUUCUCGGGACUUAGCCAAAUUUGGCUAAAUCUCGUCGGGCCAACGUUCGGGAACCGGUCCCUGCCCACCAGGGACCGGUCUCAUCAGAGACCUCCGCAACCCAGCCUGAUGGAACCGGUCCCUCCCUGCCAGGGACCGGUCCCCGAGAGCAUUUCUGCUCCAGUGCAGAUUUUGCACUGGUGCUCCCGCGGACCCUUCUUUAAUGCACUUUAUGCAUUAUAAUCGCCUUCGGGCUUUCCGAAGCCUACGCACUCGACGAAUAGUCGAUUCUGGUCGAAGUCUAAUCCUCGAGUUUCGAGAAUUCACUUCCUUACAUCCUUCCCACCUUAAAAGAGUUUCGUCCUCGAAACGAACUCAAUACUCCAAAACUUGAUUAGAAUUUCAAAUUCUAAAUUCAUACCUCAAUUUAGCCUUCAAACAGGCGAGGAUGAUUCGCCUUCAUCUCCUCCUCGAGCUCCCAGGUGGCUUCGCGAUCAUCAUGAUUGCUCCACCGGACUCGGACAUAAGGAAUCUCUCGACUCCUUAACUUGCGCACUUCACGAGCGGUAAUUGCCACCGGGAAUUCCUCGUAGCUCAGAUCCUCCUGAAGUUCCGGCGGCUCAUAUAGCAUUACAUGCUCGGGAUCGGGAACGUAUUUGCGAAGAUUGGAGACGUGGAAUACGUUGUGCACAUCCGCAAGCUUUGGCGGCAACGCGAGCCGAUAAGCCACCGUCCCAAUCCGCUCCAAGAUCUCAUAGGGGCCAAUGUAUCGGGGACUUAGUUUUCCCCGCACUCCAAACCGCUUUACACCCCUCAUAGGCGAGACCUUCAAGAAGACGCGGUCACCCACCGCAAACUCUAGAUCUCGCCGGCGCCUAUCCGCAUAGCUCUGUUGUCGAGAUUGCGCCGUGAGUAACCGUUUGCGAGCAAGGCGGACCUUUUCUUCCGCCUCCCGCAGCACAUCGGGGCCAAAUUCCGCGCGUUCGCCCACGUCACUCCAAUAAAUAGGAGAGCGGCACUUCCGCCCAUAAAGAGCUUCGAACGGUGCCAUCUCCACACUAGCGUGAUAACUAUUGUUGUAGGCGAACUCGGCCAUUGGCAAAUACUUACACCAGCCUCCUUUGUAGUCGAUGACACACGCUCGCAACAUAUCCUCCAGAGUCUGAAUGGUUCUUUCAGUUUGUCCGUCUGUCUGGGGAUGGAAUGCAGUACUGAAAUCGAGCCGUGUGCCAAGGGCCUCCUGCAGGCUUUUCCAGAAAUGUGAAGUAAACUUGGGGUCUCUAUCCGACACAAUCGAUUUCGGCACCCCGUGUAAUCUCACUACCUCAUCAAGAUAUACCUGCGCCAACUUAUCUCCCGCCCAGGUGGUGUGGAUCGGCAAAAAGUGUGCUGACUUGGUCAAGCGGUCCACGAUCACCCAGAUUGCGUCGUGUCCUCCUGUCGAGCGAGGUAAGCCAACGACGAAAUCCAUAGAUAUGUCUUCCCAUUUCCAAACGGGAAUAGGUAAGCUUUGAAGCUUCCCCGUUGGAAACCGGCGCUCCGCCUUUACUUGCUGACAAGUCAAGCACUUCGCCACGAAGCGCCCAAUAUCAGCCUUCAUCCCCGGCCACCAAUAGAGUGCCCUCAACUCAUGAUACAUUUUGGUGCCGCCCGGGUGAUCCGCAUAUGGAGAUCGGUGAGCUUCUUGCAGGAUCAACUCGCGAAGUUCUUCAUUUUCCGGCACGCACCACCGGUUUCGAAACCGGAGCGCACCACCGGCGUCCACACUGAAAUCGCCAUCUCGUCCUUCCUCGAUAUUGCGCCGCACCUUUUGGAGACUCGGAUCUGCAGGUUGCAAAUUUCUGAUCCUCUCCAAUAAGGUCGGUUGGAUAACGAGCGCCAUCAGCUGGGCCGGGACCUCGGGAGCGACCACUUCAAGGUCCAGCCGCUCCAUCUCCAGCCCUAGGGGUGUUUGCCGGGUAACAUCAAAGGCGAGGUUCUUCGCCGACUUCCUACUAAGUGCGUCUGCGACCACAUUUGCCUUGCCGGGGUGGUAGAGAAUGUCGACAUCAUAAUCUUUUAAUAGCUCUAGCCACCGCCUCUGUCGCAUAUUCAGCUCCUUCUGGGUAAACAGGUACUUCAGACUUUUGUGGUCGGUGUAGAUCUCGCAGUGUGCACCGUAUAGGUAGUGCCUCCACAACUUCAGCGCAAAGAUCACCGCCGCCAACUCCAAGUCAUGGAUGGGGUAAUUCUUCUCGUGGUCCUUCAGCUGACGGGAUGCAUAAGCUAUCACCCUCCCGCCUUGCAUCAGGACACACCCCAAGCCCAGAUAGGAUGCGUCGCUAUAAACCACAAAGUCCUCGCCCUGCACCGGUAAGGCGAGUAUUGGAGCCGACGUCAAUCUUUUCUUCAACUCGUUGAAGCUUCGAUCACACUCGUCGCUCCAAAUGAACUUGACGCCCUUCUGAGUCAAACCGGUAAGUGGAGUUACAAUCUUCGAAAAGCCUUCCACGAACCGUCGAUAAUAGCCCGCUAAGCCCACAAAGCUUCGGACCUCCGUGACAUUCGUCGGGCGUGGCCAAUUCUCGACCGCUUCGACUUUCCUCGGGUCAACCGAAACACCACCCUCGGAAAUUACAUGCCCUAAGAAGGCAACUUCUCGAAGCCAGAAAUCACAUUUCUUUAGCUUUGCGAAUAGCUUCUCCUCCCGAAGGAUUUGAAGCACCGUCCGCAAAUGCUCCGCGUGCUCCUCGUCGUUCCGCGAAUAGACCAAGAUGUCGUCUAUGAAGACCACGACGAAUCUAUCCAGGCACGCCUUGAACACACGGUUCAUCAGGUCCAUGAAUGCAGCCGGGGCAUUAGUGAGCCCGAAAGGCAUAACCGUGUAUUCAUAGUGUCCAUAACGCGUACGAAACGCGGUCUUCUGAAUAUCCUCCGGCUUGAUCUUUAACUGAUGAUAGCCGGACUGUAGAUCUAUCUUCGAGUACACUCGUGACCCUUGUAAUUGGUCGAACAAGUCAUCAAUUCGGGGUAACGGGUACUUAUUCUUAAUUGUGACCUUAUUCAACUCUCGAUAAUCCACGCAGAGUCGAAACGAGCCAUCCUUCUUGCGCACGAACAACACCGGCGCUCCCCACGGCGAUACACUCGGCCUGAUAAACCCUUUGUCGAGAAGAUCUUGUAACUGAUCCCUCAAUUCUCUUAACUCUGCCGGCGCCAUGCGGUAUGGGGCCUUUGAGAUCGGCGCCGUCCCGGGAAUCAAGUCUAUAACGAACUCGAUCUCCCGAUCCGGCGGCAUCCCCGAUAACUCCGUGGGAAACACAUCCGGAAAUUCCCGCACCACCGAUAAAUCUUCUAAUUUCGGCACCACCCGGUCCACCUCCACGACGGUCGCCAAAAAUGCCGCGCAACCGCCGCUGACCAACUUCCUAGCUCUCGUCGCCGAUACUGUCGCGACGAAGCAAGAACUCCGACAAGCUUGAUAAACGAACUCCUUCUGUCCGGGCUCCCGAAAAGUGAUCAAUUUAUUCUUACAAUCGAUCGUGGCGUAAUACUUCGAGAGCCAAUCCAUACCUAAAAUAACGUCGUACGCCUCCAGUUUAGUGAGUUCCAACAUCCGAAUGGGCAUUAUCCAAUCACCCACUUGCACCGGACACGACGAGCACUCCGUAUAGGUGUUAAAUGAUAACUCGGGACCCUCGACUCGCCACUUGCCACUUGCUUCUAUGGGUAUGUCAUGCAUGCGUGCAAAUGCUCUACUAAUAAAUGAAUGCGUGGCACCCGUAUCGAACAUAGCUCUGGAGCGAACUCCAUUGAUUAGAACCAUACCUGCCACAACAUCAGGCUCCUCGGCUAGGGCAGGCUCCUCGGCUUGGGCCUGAGCGGCGAAUACCCGUCCGCUCGGCGCUGAUCGAGUCACCUCCGGCUGGCGCGGCGCCAAUGCGCGUCCUGCUGACACGGGAACAUAGGGGGCCCCUCCCUGAUAAGGCGGGGGCGCUGGAGCCGAUGCGACCGACGGAGUAGACGAGGCCCUUGCCGGACAGUCACGGCUAAUAUGUCCUUCUUGUCCGCAGUUAAAGCACCGUCCUUGUCGUUGACUACACUGCGGUGCCCGAUGGCCUCGAUCUCCACAAAUAGGGCAACGCCGCGGCCCACGGCCCCACGACUGCGACCGCGGAUGCUUCGGGGGCCUCCUCGAACUCGACUGUCCACCCGAACCGCCGCCCGAUCGCUUCUUCCCCUUGUCUUGGGAUCCGGCCAACAACUCACGCUCCUCCCGCACAUGGGCAUCUCCAUGCUCUGCCCACAGCGCCUUGUUGAAGACCUCGGCGAAAGUUGUGAGCUGGAAUAGCUGCACCGCUCUAUAUAUCCAUGGCCGAAGUCCUCGCAAGAACCACUCGGCUCGAUCCGCGUCGUCCUUGACCACGUCCGGGACGCAGUCUAUAAUGUGGGAGAACUCCUGCUCGUAGUCCGCCACCGAGCGAUCUCCCUGCCUCAACUUGCGAAACCUCUCCUUCAACUUCCGCUUCUCGGUGUCGGGGAAGUAGUUUCCGAACAUCUCCUUCUUGAACUCCUCCCAGAGCAUUGGCGGAAGAUCAGAGGGUCGAUCCCGCUUCAACCGCUUCCACCACACCUUCGCCGCCUUGUCGAGGCAAUGGGUGGCGAAAGGCACCUUAUCUUUCUCCGAGGUAUAUAGGUCCUCGAAGAGAGUCUCCAUAGAGUCUACCCAAGACUCUACCACCGACGGCUCCACUUUCCCCCCUUCAAAAGUUGGUGGCUUAAACUUCAUAAACCUCAUUAAAGCCGUUAGCGCACGCUCCCGCUCCACUUCAUCGGCCGUCGUAUCAAGCGUCGCCGAACCCGAAGCUGUCGGAGGCGCACUUGUCGGCGGGGGAACCGCCGCCAUCGGAACCGCCGCUAUGCCCUCACCCUCGGCCGCUACCGGCGUGCGUGCCGAAGGUGCGGGCGGAUCGCGAUCUCCUGCCGCCGUCGCGGCCGCCGCCGCUGCCGCUUGCCGCUCCACAACUUCCUGGAGCUGCUCGAACCGAGCCUCCUGGCGCUGCAUCGCGCCCAACAUUGCAGCGACCUGCUCCCGCAGCUCCUGCACCUCCUCCGAUCUUGGCUGCUCGGGCUCCGCAGAAGGCGGUACCGGAGCAGACCUACGCGCAUAACGCCUUGGGGACAUUGCUCCUGAAAAGCAACAACUCGGUUAGUUAUCUCAAUCCGAUAACUUCCUCAACGUUCACAAAACUAAACGACUCAACAAUAAAAUCGGGCGGAAGCUCGCAAGUGCUCUAGUGUUGGACUCUUAGCGUUGCGUCGUCGGCCGCCGACACAACCACUACAAGCCAAGAACUAGUGUCACUUGUAUCCGUCUCUAUUCACAGCUAGAGAUGUGCCAUCAACUUCGACCCAAUCAAUCAACUUCCGCCACCGCCAUGGGUUCACGUUCACUCACGUCCCUAUAACCUUAGGGUUCACCAACCUAGGGUCUCCUAGGUCAUCCUAGACUCUCUCUUUACUUGCUCUUAAGUGCUCUGAUACCACUUUAUCUGUCACGCCCCGCGACCGCUACCAAUUUGGUCCGGCCCGGGCGCGUCGAACAGACGCCGAACGGACAGGACCUCCCCUGUCCGUCCAAGGCUAACCAACAGAUCGUGCAUAAGAAUUUACCCAGGAAUCAAUUCAUAAAUACACGAUCAAUAAGCACCACUAGUGCUAUAAACAAGAGCAAGAUACAAGUAUAGAAACAUAUACAAGUACAUAAGAGAGAAGAGACUAUCUAUUACAUUCAUUUGAUUUACUACAUUUAGAUACAUCUUUUACAUUCUUCCAAAAUAUAAAUACAAGCAAUCAACCCUCACCCUAUACAACAUCUACUCUCAAAUACAAAAGGGGUGACGGCUAAUGCAAGAAGAGGAGGUAGCUAAUGCGACUAGAACGCCGGGCCCUUACCGCGAUCCUCACGCUCACCGGGGACGCCCGAACUGGAACCUGUGGUAAAAUGGGGGUGAGAACUAACUUCCUUAGUUCCCAGUGGGUUCGGCCGCCGACUCCGCCGAUCUCCCCACUAGGUCCAAGCGGGCAUAAGUAGACAAUCGAUAGAUAGGUAG
rnacentral:lncRNA from 1 species